GCAGAACGCGAAGAACCUUACCCACCUUUGACAUGUACGGAAGUUGCCAGAGAUAGAGGAGUGCUCGAAAGAGAGCCGUAACACAGGUGCUGCAUGGCUGUCGUCAGCUCGUGUCGUGAGAUGUUGGGUUAAGUCCCGCAACGAGCGCAACCCUUGCCAUUAGUUGCUACGAAAGGGCACUCUAAUGGGACUGCCGGUGACAAACCGGAGGAAGGUGGGGAUGACGUCAAGUCCUCAUGGCCCUUAUAGGUGGGGCUACACACGUCAUACAAUGGCUGGUACAAAGGGUUGCCAACCCGCGAGGGGGAGCUAAUCCCAUAAAGCCAGUCGUAGUCCGGAUCGCAGUCUGCAACUCGACUGCGUGAAGUCGGAAUCGCUAGUAAUCGUGGAUCAGAAUGUCACGGUGAAUACGUUCCCGGGUCUUGUACACACCG
rnacentral:rRNA from 1 species